UUUGAAGACGCGGCAACACUGGGGAAUUUCCCUUAGUAACUCCGCCUCACCGGCAAAAAAUUCGAUUGUUUGCAGGCAUUUGUGUAUUUGUCACCUUUGUUCCUCCACUUCAAGAGUGUGACAAUGUUCAUCAUAAACCCUCCACUCACUGUGCAGUAUAAGUAUCAUGAACAAAUGGCAGAUAAUUUUCUUGGUGGCUGAAGAUUGUCUAUAUGCACUGGGAAGCUGUAGUAGUGGUAUGAGCCUCUGCGCAUAGGUCACACCAAAAAUUUUUGCUGCAUCAUCAUAUAUGAAGGGUUGACUCUCAGACCCUUCAAAACAAAACAGAAGAGCCUACUGACAUAAAAAAACAAAAACAUCUUCCCUUUUUUUUUUUUAUGUAUUUUAACACUCUAUCCUCCUAUUUCACUUCAUGUUUUUUCGUACUCCCACAUUAUGUAUCAUUCUCACUAUAGAAUCUUGCACUCACCUCAGUUAUUGUUAUUCUGUCUGUAGCCAAACCACCUUGGUGACCUUCCACUACAUAUCUAAUUCUAAAUCCAAUUAUAAAAUAUGUUAUUCCACACCCUAGUCUCUCAUGUAUAUAUGAUCAUUACUGGUGCAAUCAUUCUGUCACACAGUACCUUCUAACCUUCAUGCUCUCUAUUCUCUUUCGGUAUACAUUCUAAAGAUCUAACCACUUGUCCAUAUUUGGAGAUGAUUGAACCAAAUGCUAAUUCAUGCACCUCAUUAAUUUUUGUUCAUUAAACCUAAUAUCAUAUCCAUUGCCCAUUCAACUUUUUAAGGGCAAUUUAAAUAAACCAUCUUUCACUACUAUCAUGUUUGCUGAUGUGCACACACACACACACACACACACACACACACACACACACACACACACACACACACACACACACACACACACAUGAAUAUACCACAAUUGUUUGGUCACCCCAUAAUAAAACGGAAAUAAGGAAAACAGAAAGGAUCCAAAGAGCUGCAACCAAAUUGGUACCAAGUUUGAGAGAUUUAACCUAUGAAGAAAGAUUAAGGAGACUGAAGCUUCCAUCAUUACAAGAGAGAAGAGAAAGAGGAGACCUGAUUGCUAUAUACAGAGCCUUAAAGGGUAAGGAUCAAGUUGACAAAGAAGACUUAUUUGUGUGGGACUCAAGAGAUACAAGAGGACAUGGAGUGAAAUUGAAGAAAACAGCAAGUAGAAGAGGUGUCAAGAAAUAUGGUUUUCCAAAUAGAAGCAUAGAAAUAUGGAACAACUUAGAUGAAACAGUGGUACAAGCAAAAAAUAUUCAUGAAUUUAAAGUUAAGUUGGAUGCUUAUAGAUAUGGAGACAGGACAGCACGAGCAUAACUCUUUUACUGUAAAACACAACUAGGUAAAUACACACACACACAACAGGUAUACUUGAGCAUUACAAUCUUCAUAAUAAUGUUCCUGGCAGUCACAUAUUUUCACUCGAGCAUCAGACUUGCACAACUUUACUUGCUGCUUUCAUUAUAUCUUCAGUCCACACAAGCCCACCAAACCGUCUCCUAUAUAUUGUAUACUACCUUUGUCUUUCACCACAUUGCUACUUUUUAAAUCAUUAAGAAGUCACUCAAACCUAAAUCAUACUUCCUUUCUCUCAUAGUAAUCAACAAUCUUUCUUCUCUUACUGAUAUCUCUCUACCCACUGAAGCAUACAGCCCUAAUGGAUUAGCUGAUUUUAGCACUUUGUUGUCAUAAGUAGCCCUUUGCUCCCACCAGUGAGAAGUGGUUACCUUAUUAACAAGGCCUUCAAUUCUUUACAUUAAAAGGCUCAAGUCAGAGAAGCAAUGCUUGCUCAUUUCAGCAACUUUUGUCCCAAGUAGGCAUAUCUGAAGUCAAAGAUACACUUGACAUUAUUCCCCAGAAAUACUAAAUACUAAAUAAAAUAACUGACUGGAACUGACCCUUUUGACUUUAAUUAAUCCCAGUUGUACUCUUAUAUUAAGUUGAGGUACCAUAUGAAAGUAAUUUUUCUCCAAAUAUUAAUGUACAAAAGCAUUUACUAGUCCAGUAAAAGUUUAGAGAUUCAGAAGGAAAGUUUGCUAGUUAGGGUAGGAUGUGAGAGACUACCUAUAAAUGUGUGCAGAUCCCUUUCCUUAUGUUGCAGAUGGGACUGACUUUGCAUCUUUCUUAAACAAACAAGUGUCAGAGGCUGGACUCCCAUGUAAAUCCCCUACAUAUGUAUAAUGAAUUUGAGAUGACAUGUUAUGUUGUAACUUUACUCUCUGAAUACAGUAAUCCCUCAACUGUUGCGGGUCACCUGUUGUGCCCCUGUACAUCACAGAUUUGUCUGGCUAAUAUGCAUAAAUUUAUAUUGUGGAUUCCUCCGUAUAUCGUGGGUUUCUGUGGCUGAUAGAUAUAUUUAUAUAUUUUAUAGAUUUUAAUUAUUUGUGGGAAAAUAAAAGCAUUUUCUAGCUUAAACAUUAAUAAUAAAUACUGAAUAUUUUGGCAUACAAGACGACACUUGAAUCAUCCUAAAAAAAAAAGUGGAUUGCCCUAUACUCCAGAUACAAAAACAACAAUCUUAAAAUUUUAAGCAAAAUACCAUUGUAAAUGAACCCCAAAAGUCGUAAUAUAAGGUUGUUGAAGUUGAAUGUAGUAAAAUAAGAAUCCACCUUGAGAAAAUUCACUGAAAUAUAUUCUCAUUGAAAAGUGUGUAAACAAAAUUUGACGUAGUACAACUACAACUCUCUGCUGGCAUUGUAUACGAAGACAAAGCAGGAGCCUGUGUGAAUAUUCCCCAGUUUUCCCGAAGCUGAAUUAGCUAUAUAAAGGUCUUCAUGGCAUGGAACCCCAAGCUAAGUUGCAAAAGGAAAACAAACUUGGGAGAUGAUGAAUCUCUCCAGCUUGCAAAGUUGUAUAAGGAUGAAGUUCAUAUACUGAGAAAAAUGUUCAAGAAUGCCGGUGUAUCUAAUCAAAAGAAAGAUGAUACAUAGAAGAUUACGCCUGACAGCCCAACACAUACAGGUGGCACAAGGCAAGGGUUUGUUUGUUUAGAAAAACUGAUCGUACCACACACAAUUUUAUACUAUCUUUGUCCAUCUAUCCUUUCUCAAGAAAAUGUAUGAAAACACCUGAUGAGAAUUUUAUUUUAGGUUUAGUUUUGCAAUUGAAGAUGAUGGUACCUUGUUACUGAUAAUACUUAAUGUAUUUUAUUCAUUGUACUGGUAUAUUACCAUCCCAGUUCUGGUGCUCAUUGAUCUAAACUUCACCUCUGCAUCUUUAUUUGUGUUGUGUGGCAUUGUUUUGGAUUUGUGUGUAAAAUUGUGAAUUGAUUUCAAGCCCUAUGAUGUUGCCCAAAUGUGUGUGGAGAGUUUAUAAAAGCUUAAAUGUAUAAAAAUUAUUAAAUUAUACAAAUAAUAAAAACAUGUACAGUA